GAUGAACGCUGGCGGCGUGCCUAAUACAUGCAAGUCGAGCGAAUGGAUUAAGAGCUUGCUCUUAUGAAGUUAGCGGCGGACGGGUGAGUAACACGUGGGUAACCUGCCCAUAAGACUGGGAUAACUCCGGGAAACCGGGGCUAAUACCGGAUAACAUUUUGAACCGCAUGGUUCGAAAUUGAAAGGCGGCUUCGGCUGCCGCUUAUGGAUGGACCCGCGUCGCAUUAGCUAGUUGGUGAGGUAACGGCUCACCAAGGCAACGAUGCGUAGCCGACCUGAGGGGGUGAUCGGCCACACUGGGACUGAGACACGGCCCAGACUCCUACGGGAGGCAGCAGUAGGGAAUCUUCCGCAAUGGACGAAAGUCUGACGGAGCAACGCCGCGUGAGUGAUGAAGGCUUUCGGGUCGUAAAACUCUGUUGUUAGGGAAGAACAAGUGCUAGUUGAAUAAGCUGGCACCUUGACGGUACCUAACCAGAAAGCCACGGCUAACUACGUGCCAGCCGCCGCGGUAA
rnacentral:rRNA from 1 species